UAGAAGCCGGAGUUUAUACAUCUCCCCACACCACCAUCGAUGACAACUACAACCAUCCCUGCCCAUUACGGUAACCACCCUCUACCAACCUUCUUUUCCACCUCCGGCAAACAAGACCGAUCACCGUCUACCACCACCCGCCGUGAAUCCAUCAUCUCCUAACCACCACUUUCUUCACCGAUAACCACCGGUACCGCCGGCGAACACCCACCACCUCCGAUUAAACAUCAACCACCAUCUCCGGCUACCUCCGACCGACCACCACCUAUUCCACCAUACCCACCUUCCAUAAUCACCAUCACCCUUCAUCCUCACCCUUUUAUCACCGCCGUCGAUUAUUGCCGACGCUGGCCGACCUCUGAUACUUCAGUCGAUCUCCGAUUCUGAUUAACAAACUAAGUUUUAUAAUUUCUCUAUUUCUCAGUCAAGUGAAUCCAGGUAUGAAGCUUACAUGUUGUUAUUGAUUCAUAGAGAUUAUUAUUCGUAUUUGAUUGUAAAUUAUUUGGUGAGAUUGAUAUGUGGGUAGUGAAUAAGAUUAAAGGGAAGAGAUAAUGUGUUUGAAUAUAAUGAUGGGUCAGGGAAUUCAGUUUGGAUUGAGUUUAGUUUAGAUUAUGAGAGUUGUUGGAAUUGAUGCAAUUUUGUGAAAAGGGGUAGUUGAAUGUAAUUGUUAGAAAUUGAGGUGAGUUGAGAGUUGUUUAAGAAUAGGAAUUUAAGUUGCUGUUAGGUUGAAAUUAUGAUAAAACAAGAUUUGGAAUAUGCGUGAAGGAUGUGAGUUGUAGCAAAUGAGUUGUGGGUGGCAAGGGUAUAAUGACGUUUAGGAUUACAGAAAAGGGUUGAUGAGCGGAUAGUUGGUGUGCACGUGCUAGUUUGGAAGGGUAAGGUGUGACAAAGGGACAAUAAAGUCGAUGUCUUGUCCGGUGAAUAUUUAUUAGGCGUUGUGGUAUGCGAACGGAUAGUAAAGUAAUUUGCAUUGAGGCAAUUGAGUUGAGCGGAAAAGGUAGGCCGGUCAAUUGUUGUGACGUCGAGUCAAAGUAAAAGUCAAUUAGUGCAGUCCCGCGAUACGCGGAAGAAUUUGGAGAGUAUGUCGCGACGUGCGAUGGGGUGCGGGCCGAGAGAAAAUAAUUUUUUUUUAUUGCCCAAUCUUGUUUGACGUCAUCUGAAUCUCGUCUUUCACUUGUUUUCUCUUCGUUUACUAACCGUUUAACAUGUUUGUGGAGCUUGUGAGUUUUAUUUUGCAGGUUAUUGAUCACUUUUGGCCAUACUCAAUCUCCAUUUGGACGAAAGUGCUUCUAACAAUUAUAUAAAGACAAGCGUUCCGUGUUGAAGCAGCCGCGAAUGAAAUGCUAUACGGUUGCGGUGGAACAAGACUCAUAGGAAUUUCAACCGCGUCAAAUCAGGGGAGUAUAUUCCAUUUAUCUUUGUAUUUUGAUUUAUAUUUGUAGUGUGUCAAUAGUUUCUCGCUCCAUUGAGGACAAUGAAGGAAAUAAGUGUAGGGAGGGGAAACUAGCGUCUAGUAUGUUUAGUUAGUGUCGUGUCAUAAAAAAUAAAAAAAUAAUA
rnacentral:lncRNA from 1 species